AGAGAAGGGAGGAAGAAGAAGAAGAAGAGAAAAAAGGGAAAAUAAGGGGAAAAGGAAGAGAAGUAGAGGAAAUAAGUUUAAAAGGUAAGAUUUAUGGUUUGAAGUGUAUUAAUAUGUUUAAUUUCGUUUUGAUUAAUUUUAGAGUUUUGAAGUUUGUAUUUUGAGUUAAUUGAUGAAUUAAUUUGAAGGUUAGGAGUUGAUUAUUAUGGGUAUUUGAUUAAUUAGUUGAUUUUGAGAGAUUGAAUUGAAGGAUAAUGAUUUUGAGUUAUGAUUUUGUUUAAAUGGUGAAAUUGUGUUAGAAAUCAGGGGAUAACAGUAGGUGAUCUGUUGAAAUUCUGGGUUUGAGGUUGAAGAUGACGAAAAUUCAGUUUGGUCCCUCAAUUUGUGGAAAUUGCAGUUUAGUCCCCGAACUUUGGAAAUUUUACAGAUUGGUCCCUGGGGCAUAAAUUGAGAUUCUGAACAGAACUGAGGAUGAUUUAAGGACAAAAUUCCAGUAUAAUUAAUAUUUUCAGUUUGGUCCUCCAAUUUGACAAAUUACGAUUUGACCCCUAAUAUUUUGAUAAAAUCACAUUUUGGACCUUGGGGCAUAAUUCAAGAUUCUGGACAAAGAUAAGGACGAAUUAUGGAUAAUUUCAGUAUGGAUAUAUAUAUUUACAAUUCGGUCCUCAAAUUUGGUAAAAUUACGUUUUGGUCCCUGUUUUGGAAAAUUGUCGUUUUAGUCCCUAAACUCGAGAGAUUAAGCCCAGUUUAUUUUAUGCAUUUGUAUCUUUUGUUUGAUUUGUUUUUGAGUAUAUUUCAUAUAUUUAUUGUAGGUUCUCCUAACGAUCCUUAAUCGGAUUUUCGGGUCUUUUGCCUGACAUUCCUUUAGUUCAGUAUUUUCCGGGUGAGUGGAAUAAUCUUUAAUAUGCAUAUAAUAUAAAUAAAUAUGUAUGUUGAUUAUACAAUGAGUACGACUAGUAAGUUUCUUGAAUAUUUAUAUAUGUUGCUUUAUUUUCCGAGUACUCAUUUAUUCUUGAAUUUGCAUUCGCAAUCUGUCAAAGUAAAUUCUAUUUGAUAUGAUAUACGUUCUUUGAUGAUUAUGUGAAUAUCUAUUAUGCCUUGAUAUGGGACUUGUCAGUAACUCCAUGCUAACGGAGAAUAGUUAGCCUGUGUGCACAUAGUAUUCUGUUACCUAGCUGGUGAGAGAGGCAUCAGCCUGUGGUGAUUGAUCAUCCCACAGUGGUCACCGACGGGUGUCAUCUGGUCACCGACGGGUGUCAUCUGGUCACCUUCGGGUGUCAUCUGUUCUCUGACAUGUAAUCCACUACGUUAUGAUAAUAUGUUAGUAAGUAUAUGUAUAUGUAUAUGUAUAUGCAUAUCAAGAUAAAUCAUCUUGCAAAUAAUAUCUGAAAUAUAUGAAAUGUGUAUUAAAUGUUAUUCCCUCACUGAGUUGGUUGAACUCACCCUCAUUUUUAAUAUUAUUUCAGGUUCUUAGUUUCUGGAACUUUGUUGAGUGUUUCCGCUUCUUCAGUUCUG
rnacentral:lncRNA from 1 species